AUUGAACGCUGGCGGCAUGCUUUACACAUGCAAGUCGAACGGCAGCGCGGGCUUCGGCCUGGCGGCGAGUGGCGAACGGGUGUGUAAUACAUCGGAACGUGCCCAGUAGUGGGGGAUAGCUCGGCGAAAGCCGGAUUAAUACCGCAUACGACCUGAGGGUGAAAGCGGGGGAUCUUCGGACCUCGCGCUAUUGGAGCGGCCGAUGGCAGAUUAGCUAGUUGGUGGGGUAAAGGCCUACCAAGGCGACGAUCUGUAGCUGGUCUGAGAGGACGACCAGCCACACUGGGACUGAGACACGGCCCAGACUCCUACGGGAGGCAGCAGUGGGGAAUUUUGGACAAUGGGCGAAAGCCUGAUCCAGCAAUGCCGCGUGUGGGAUGAAGGCCUUCGGGUUGUAAAGCACUUUUGGCGGGAACGAAAAGGACUGUGCCAAUACCACGGUUCGAUGACGGUACCCGCAGAAUAAGCACCGGCUAACUACGUG
rnacentral:rRNA from 1 species